AGAGUUUGAUCCUGGCUCAGGAUGAACGCUAGCGGCAGGCCUAAUACAUGCAAGUCGAACGGUCGUAGUGAUACGAUAGUGGCGCACGGGUGCGUAACACGUAUGCAACCUACCUUAUACUGGGGGAUAGCCUUUGGAAACGGAGAUUAAUACCCCAUAAUACGUUUUAGUGGCAUCACAUAGACGUUAAAGAUUUAUCGGUAUAAGUUGGGCAUGCGUCCAAUUAGUUAGUUGGUGGGGUAAUGGCUCACCAAGACUUUGAUUGGUAGGGGAACUGAGAGGUUAAUCCCCCACACUGGCACUGAGAUACGGGCCAGACUCCUACGGGAGGCAGCAGUAGGGAAUAUUGGGCAAUGGAGGCAACUCUGACCCAGCCAUGCCGCGUGCAGGAAGAAGGCGUUAUGCGUUGUAAACUGCUUUUAUAUAGGAAGAAAGAGUUCUUGCGAGAACAGUUGACGGUACUAUAUGAAUAAGCACCGGCUAACUCCGUGCCAGCAGCCGCGGUAAUACGGAGGGUGCAAGCGUUGUCCGGAUUUAUUGGGUUUAAAGGGUGCGUAGGCGGUUUAUUAAGUCAGUGGUGAAAGACGGUCGCUCAACGAUUGCAGUGCCAUUGAUACUGGUAGACUUGAGUGAGAUUGAGGUAGCUGGAAUGGAUAGUGUAGCGGUGAAAUGCAUAGAUAUUAUCCAGAACACCAAUUGCGUAGGCAAGUUACUAAGUCUCAACUGACGCUGAGGCACGAAAGUGUGGGUAUCAAACAGGAUUAGAUACCCUGGUAGUCCACACUGUAAACGAUGAUAACUAACUGUUGGCUUUCGGGUCCAGUGGUACAGAGAAAUCGUUAAGUAUCCCCUGGA
rnacentral:rRNA from 1 species